rnacentral:rRNA from 1 species
GGGUUGUGAGGUUAAGCGACUAAGCGUACACGGUGGAUGCCCUGGCAGUCAGAGGCGAUGAAGGACGUGCUAAUCUGCGAAAAGCGUCGGUAAGGUGAUAUGAACCGUUAUAGCCGGCGAUGUCCGAAUGGGGAAACCCAGUGCAAUUCGUUGCACUAUCGUUAACUGAAUACAUAGGUUAACGAGGCGAACCGGGGGAACUGAAACAUCUAAGUACCCCGAGGAAAAGAAAUCAACCGAGAUUCCCCCAGUAGCGGCGAGCGAACGGGGAGCAGCCCAGAGUCUGAAUCAGCUUGUGUUUAGUGGAACGGUCUGGAAAGUCCGACGGUACAGGGUGAUAGUCCCGUACACCAAAAUGCACAGGCUGUGAACUCGAAGAGUAGGGCGGGACACGUGGUAUCCUGUCUGAAUAUGGGGGGACCAUCCUCCAAGGCUAAAUACUCCUGACUGACCGAUAGUGAACCAGUACCGUGAGGAAAGGCGAAAAGAACCCCGGCGAGGGAGUGAAAAGAACCUGAAACCGUGUACGUACAAGCAGUGGGAGCACCUUCGGGUGUGACUGCGUACCUUUGUAUAAUGGGUCAGCGACUUAUAUUCUGUAGCAAGGUUAACCGUAUAGGGAGCCGCAGGAAACCGAGUCUUAACUGGGCGUUAAGUUGCAGGGUAUAGACCCGAAACCCGGUGAUCUAGCCAUGGGCAGGUUGAAGGUUGGGUAACACUAACUGGAGGACCGAACCGACUAAUGUUGAAAAAUUAGCGGAUGACUUGUGGCUGGGGUGAAAGGCCAAUCAAACCGGGAGAUAGCUGGUUCUCCCGAAAGCUAUUUAGGUAGCGCCUCGUGAAUUCAUCUUCGGGGUAGAGCACUGUUUCGGCUAGGGGUCAUCCCGACUUACCAACCCGAUGCAAACUACGAAUACCGAAGAAUGUUAUCACGGAGACACACGGCGGGUGCUAACGUCCGUCGUGAAGAGGGAAACAACCCAGACCGCCAGCUAAGGUCCCAAAGUCAUGGUUAAGUGGGAAACGAUGUGGGAAGGCACAGACAGCCAGGAUGUUGGCUUAGAAGCAGCCAUCAUUUAAAGAAAGCGUAAUAGCUCACUGGUCGAGUCGGCCUGCGCGGAAGAUGUAACGGGGCUAAACCAUGCACCGAAGCUGCGGCAGCGACGCUUAUGCGUUGUUGGGUAGGGGAGCGUUCUGUAAGCCUGCGAAGGUGGCCUGUGAGGGCUGCUGGAGGUAUCAGAAGUGCGAAUGCUGACAUAAGUAACGAUAAAGCGGGUGAAAAGCCCGCUCGCCGGAAGACCAAGGGUUCCUGUCCAACGUUAAUCGGGGCAGGGUGAGUCGACCCUAAGGCGAGGCCGAAAGGCGUAGUCGAUGGGAAACAGGUUAAUAUUCCUGUACUUGGUGUUACUGCGAAGGGGACGGAGAAGGCUAUGUUAGCCGGGCGACGGUUGUCCCGGUUUAAGCAUGUAGGCGGAGGUUCGGUAAAUCCGGUACCUUUAACGCUGAGGUGUGAUGACGAGGCACUACGGUGCUGAAGUAACAAAUGCCCUGCUUCGGAAAAGCCUCUAAGCAUCAGGUAACAUUAAAUCGUACCCCAAACCGACACAGGUGGUCAGGUAGAGAAUACCAAGGCGCUUGAGAGAACUCGGGUGAAGGAACUAGGCAAAAUGGUGCCGUAACUUCGGGAGAAGGCACGCUGGUGUGUAGGUGAAGUCCCUGCGGAUGGAGCUGAGACCAGUCGAAGAUACCAGCUGGCUGCAACUGUUUAUUAAAAACACAGCACUGUGCAAACACGAAAGUGGACGUAUACGGUGUGACGCCUGCCCGGUGCCGGAAGGUUAAUUGAUGGGGUUAUCCGUAAGGAGAAGCUCUUGAUCGAAGCCCCGGUAAACGGCGGCCGUAACUAUAACGGUCCUAAGGUAGCGAAAUUCCUUGUCGGGUAAGUUCCGACCUGCACGAAUGGCGUAAUGAUGGCGGGCUGUCUCCACCCGAGACUCAGUGAAAUUGAACUCGCUGUGAAGAUGCAGUGUACCCGCGGCAAGACGGAAAGACCCCGUGAACCUUUACUAUAGCUUGACACUGAACAUUGAGCCUUGAUG